rnacentral:sRNA from 2 species
CCGUGCGUCAUCUGGGGAGUAGCCAGCCGUUCCGCAUAAGGAGCGGGCCGUUCGUCAACAUAUUUGGCCGAGAGGUCAUGGCGGGCGGGACGCGAGGGAUGCAAAUCUUUCGCAUCGGGCGAGACCAAUGGCAUCGCCUUCCCCAUCCGGCCGGGUGGGGGGAGGUGGUGACAUUGUGUCCUUCAUCCUUCGC